rnacentral:rRNA from 1 species
CUACUGGGGUAUCUAAUCCUGUUUGCUCCCCACGCUUUCGCACCUCAGCGUCAGUACCGGGCCAGUGAGCCGCCUUCGCCACUGGUGUUCUUGCGAAUAUCUACGAAUUUCACCUCUACACUCGCAGUUCCACUCACCUCUCCCGGACUCAAGCUUCUCAGUAUCAAAGGCAGUUCUGGAGUUGAGCUCCAGGAUUUCACCCCUGACUUAAAAAGCCGCCUACGUGCGCUUUACGCCCAGUGAUUCCGAGCAACGCUAGCCCCCUUCGUAUUACCGCGGCUGCUGGCAC